rnacentral:rRNA from 1 species
GACGAACGCUGGCGGCGUGCUUAACACAUGCAAGUCGAACGGAAAGGCCCUGCUUUUGUUGGGUGCUCGAUUGGCGAACGGGUGAGUAACACGCGAGUAACCUGCCCCUAACUUUGGGAUAACUUCAGGAAACUGGGGCUAAUACCGGAUAGGAGCUCCUGCUGCAUGGUGGGGGUUGGAAAGUUUCGGCGGUUGGGGAUGGACUCGCGGCUUAUCAGCUUGUUGGUGGGGUAGUGGCUUACCAAGGCUUUGACGGGUAGCCGGCCUGAGAGGGUGACCGGCGUCAUUGGUACUGAGAUACGGAGCAGACUCCUACGGGAGGCAGCAGGGGAGAAUAUUGCACAAUGGGCGGAAGCCUGAUGCAGCAACGCCGCGUGCGGGAUGACGGCCUUCGGGUUGUAAACCGCUUUCGCCGGUAACGAAGCGUGAGUGACGGUAAUGGGUAAAGAAGCACCGGCUAACUACGUG